rnacentral:rRNA from 1 species
UACGUAGGGGGCUAGCGUUGUCCGGAAUCAUUGGGCGUAAAGCGCGUGUAGGCGGUCCGGUAAGUCCGCUGUGAAAGUCGGGGGCUCAACCCUCGGAUGCCGGUGGAUACUGUCGGGCUUGAGUACGGAAGAGGCGAGUGGAAUUCCUGGUGUAGCGGUGAAGUGCGCAGAUAGUCAGGAGGAACACCUAUUGCGAAGGCAGCUCGCUGGGACGUAACUGACGCUGAGACGCGAAAGCGUGGGGAGCAAACAGG